UACGUAGGGGGCAAGCGUUGUCCGGAAUCACUGGGCGUAAAGCGUGCGUAGGCGGUGACGCAAGUCUGGAGUGAAAGUCCAGGGCUCAACCCUGGGAAUGCUUUGGAAACUGCGUGACUUGAGUGCUGGAGAGGCAAGGGGAAUUCCACGUGUAGCGGUGAAAUGCGUAGAUAUGUGGAGGAAUACCAGUGGCGAAGGCGCCUUGCUGGACAGAGACUGACGCUGAGGCACGAAAGCGUGGGGAGCAAACAGG
rnacentral:rRNA from 2 species